ACAGGUUUGGCCUGCCCUUUGCUGGGUGGGUUGAGCGCACGCGGAUCUUUCCCCAUGCUCUCCUUGCGGAGCCUUUGCCGCCGCGCAAGCGGUAGGGCUGAGCGACUUGAAAAACAAAUCAGCCCGUGGGCAAGUCGGCUGCCUUUUUGGUGCCGGCAACACUUUCGAAUUGCGGGGACACCCUAAAGCUCCCAUCCACCAAGCCAGCCGGGAAACAGGCUGGUGGCCUGUGCUAACGACACAGGGUAUGGUAAUAACGGUGGGAGAUGAGCGCGCGCAGCGCGCGAAAUGGGCUACCCGCAGCGAAGCCUCUGUGCCCUUUCUUUUGGGGAGGGCUGGGGAACGUUCACAGACUAAGCGGAAGUGGGUGGGGCACUCUCUGGGUGCCCUGCUUAAGAUAUAGUCGGGCUCCCUGGGAGACCAGCUUAGGAGAGGACAGCCGUUCCGUAGGUGAACCUGCGGAAGGAUCAUUACCACGUCGGCCCCAUUUGGGGUUUGAAAUCAACCCUUGACUAUGAGUACCAAAAUAUACGUCCCUCGGCGGAGUGCACACCUGCCCAUGGGCCCUCUUGAAACAACCUUGUGUGCAGUAUGCUAGUAUCUUCUGAUUUUAUGGGCAAUGAAUAAUAUAUUUACAACUUUCAACAAUGGAUCUCUUGGCUCUGGCAUCGAUGAAGAACGCAGCGAAAUGCGAUAAGUAGUGUGAAUUGCAGAAUCCAGGGAAUCAUCGAAUCUUUGAACGCACAUUGCGCCCCUUGGUAUUCCAUGGGGCAUGCCUGUUCGAGCGUCAUUGACACCCUCAAGCUCUGCUUGGUGUUGGGCGUCUGUCCCCGCGGGGACUCGCCCCCAAAGUUAUUGGCAGCCUUUGCCCGCUUCCCGCGCAGCACUGUCGCGCUUUUGGGGAGGACAUAUGGGCAGACUGGCGUCCAACAAGCUCUUUUUUAUUUAUGUUUGACCUCGAAUCAGGUAGGGAUACCCGCUGAACUUAAGCAUAUCAAUAA
rnacentral:ncRNA from 1 species